rnacentral:rRNA from 1 species
GACCCUAGUACGAGAGGACCGGGUUGAACAUACCUCUGGUGUACCUGUCGUCACGCCAGUGGCGCAGCAGGGUAGCUAUGUAUGGACGGGAUAACCGCUGAAAGCAUCUAAGCGGGAAGCCUCCCUCAAGAUAAGAUUUCAUCGAGCCGUCGUAGACCACGACGUUGAUAGGCUGGAUGUGGAAGUGCGGUAACGCAUGGAGCUAACCAGUCCUAAUUGCUCUGUUCGCGCUUAA